rnacentral:rRNA from 1 species
UUCCUACGGGAGGCAGCAGUGAGGAAUAUUGGUCAAUGGGAGGAAUCCUGAACCAGCCAUGCCGCGUGCAGGACGACGGCUCUACGAGUUGUAAACUGCUUUUGUACCGGGGUAAAAUGCCUUACGAGUAGGGUUUUGAAAGUACGGUACGAAUAAGGAUCGGCUAACUCCGUGCCAGCAGCCGCGGUAAUACGGAGGAUCCGAGCGUUAUCCGGAUUCAUUGGGCUUAAAGGGUGCGUAGGCGGACUGGAAAGUCAGCGGUAAAAUCGAGAGGCUCAACCUCUUUCCGCCGUUGAAACUGUCGG